GCCCGGGUAGCGCAGUGGUUAAGGCAACUGCCUGAUAAGCAGGAGAUCCCGGGUUCGAAUCCCGGUCCGGCUCACA